CUCAGACAGGUCCAGCAGCUGACCAAGGCCAGCACCCAUGGUUGACCAGCUGUCAGCCAACUGUCCAUGGCUACAGAACAGGGGCUGAAGAGGGAGAGAUCAGUGACCCAUCACCACUUACAUGGAGGGGACACAGCCCACACCUACUGCCCCUAUAUGGCGAAGAUGCUGCUGCAGAGAAAAGAAUAAGAAAUUGUGUAAUAGUCAUCAAUGGUGGCAAAUGAGAAGCAUAGGCAUGCUGAACAAAGACAUGACCAAAACAAAAGCAAAAAGUAAGCCUCACACCUCUCAGUCAUACGGGUUUCAUGAGGCUAGAGAAUAAGAGCUGGAGGGGCUCUUGGACACCAUCCUCUCCAACCACCUCAUGAAGGAGACUGGAAACCAAGGUCCAGAGAGGGAAA